AUUGAACGCUGGCGGCAGGCUCAACACAUGCAAGUCGAGCGGAGAUGAGGUGCUUGUACCUUAUCUUAGCGGCGGACGGGUGAGUAAUGCUUAGGAAUCUGCCUAUUAGUGGGGGACAACAUUCCGAAAGGAAUGCUAAUACCGCAUACGUCCUACGGGAGAAAGCAGGGGAUCUUCGGACCUUGCGCUAAUAGAUGAGCCUAAGUCGGAUUAGCUAGUUGGUGGGGUAAAGGCCUACCAAGGCGACGAUCUGUAGCGGGUCUGAGAGGAUGGUCCGCCACACUGGGACUGAGACACGGCCCAGACUCCUACGGGAGGCAGCAGUGGGGAAUAUUGGGCAAUGGGGGGAACCCUGAUCUAGCCAUGCCGCGUGUGUGAAGAAGGCCUUAUGGUUGUAAAGCACUUUAAGCGAGGAGGAGGCUACUGAGACUAAUACUCUUGGAUAGUGGACGUUACUCGCAGAAUAAGCACCGGCUAACUCUGUGCCAGCCGCCGCCGUAAUAC
rnacentral:rRNA from 1 species